CAUUGACGCAUUCACCACAGACCCCUCCUGCACCUCGCCUAUCAGUCAGGAACUUUGACUUGUACAGCAACAUGUCCAAGCAAGCUGGCCAUACAGGAGAGGCCAUUUGGUGUGGAAAGACUGCUGCUCCAAUGACCAGGUCAAAGGACAUCACUGCUGAUCAACAGAGUCAACAGCACCAAUGGGAGACAAGGGGGAGCAAAUCUGGCCCAUCUUCAGUGGCUGACCAGGACAGACAAUCAGUACGCUGCACUGUGAGCCCCCAAUAGACUCAGGAAUCCCAAGUGGCCGGCUCAAACAUUUGUGUCUAAUAUACAGCUGCAUCUGUGGUUCGACAUCAUCUUACGUGGCGAAGGAGUCGUACAGACAACCCACCUGUCAAAACUGAUAAAUGAAUUUGGAGUCCAAGCCUGCCCUCCUAGUUGCCUCAGUAAAGGUUGACUAAGGUUGCUUUUUCUUCAGAGAACUUGUAUCAGAGCCUAAGAACCUACUAACUUUUAAAAAUGGCAUUAGUAUCAGUCUCCUCAAGUACAUCAACAUCUGAUGUUGCUGGAGGAGGCCAGAACAGCACUUCAGGUUCUCAAGAACUACAGUUACUGAUGUUUGCGAGCCACCAUGUUGGUGUAGAAAUUGAGAUUAUAUCCUUAAUAUGAGCAACAGUUGUGUUAAGCUGCUGGGUGAUCUCUCGGGUCCCUUCUCACAUAAUAGGAAGGCUCCAUCUGAUCUCCUAGGAGGAGUGCUCUCUGAACAUGGCCCCCCAAGUCCUAAAGAGAUUGAAUGGAUCCCAUUUAUGAGCAAGAAAACUGAAAACCUACCAGAUUAAACUCUUCAGAAUUCUAGAGAGGUAGAAGGAAAUGGUUCAAGACGAACAAAGUGGUUUUGUUUGUUAGUCUUCACCACCCUCCUUCCUGUAUCAAUGAGCUGGGUGAAUAAUCUGCUGAGAAGAAAAUGAAAUGUUCUGAGCCAUGGGGCUUUUUGCACACAGAGAAUAUGAAACUUCACUUGUGAUGUGGAUGAGCAAAGUGGCUUGUCUUCUUGUGAAGUAUGGUGAAGAAGAGGAAGAAGAAGAAAAAAAAUCCCGCUUAGUAUAUUAGAAUUGACUACAAAAUGAAUGGAGCUACAACCUAAUUUAUUCAUGCUUUUGUUUAUUCAGCUCAUAUAAAAGUCUCUUAAGAAUGCAUUUGAGCACAAUAUAUAAUAGUAAUAAUAUUAUAACAUACAUUGUGAGAAACUUUUGAAAACAAUAUAACGUCCACCUGGAACAACGCAGUGUUACAGACGUAGGAACCCAUUGGUCAUGCACAUUUUGUGCCAUUUUCUUUAACUAGUUGUCACAAUGCUGAACUGAAGCAUGA